GGGGGUGUGGCUCAGUUGGUAGAGCGCUCGCUUAGCACCUACACAUGGUUGCGAAAGGUCCUGGGUUCGAUUCCCAGCUCCUCCA